rnacentral:snRNA from 1 species
AUACUUAGCUGUCAGGAAGGAUAUCAUUUGUAUUAAGGUGGUUAUCCCAGGGCAAGGCUUAUCCAUUCCACUCUGGAUGUGCUGACCCUGUAAUUUUCCCAAAUGUAGAAAACUGGACUGUGUAAUCCAAGGGGGGGACUGUAUUUACACUAUCCCUGA